CAACAAGAAUAGUCCGCGGGAAAGAGGCCACUCAUGAUCUUGAGGUGCAGAUCUUCAAAAACAUGGGUUAUACAUUUUCCUACUUUAAAUCUUCAGUUGAAAAGUGUUCCUAUUUUACCUGAGCCAAUCAAUCUUUAAUGACCAGUAACCUAAGUCAUUGUCGCAAGUUAUCAAUAAUGAAUAAUGUGCCACAUUGAUCCACUCCAUGCCAUGUAAAACUUCCUGUGUGUUGUUAGCAUUCCUACUGACUUUGUUUGGUCUAUUCCUCUGCCUCUACUGUCUGAUUAUAUUUAUCGUUGAAGAAUCUUGCAUAGAACGACUGCUCACUGCUUCUAAAAGCUUAGGAAGAUUAUUUGGUGCACUAGCAACAACCUUAUUAUCAUCUAUGCUAGAAUAUUUGGUCAAUACAACAUCAAGUGAACAGCACAUUGGGCUUCUAAUGUGUGAUUUGUAACCCUGCCUGCUUUUCAACUGAAGCUCUUCUUAAAAGGUAUUGUACUUUUCUAAAUAUACUGAAUAGAUGCCGAAUCUACACACCUCAGGGAUGAAGUAUACUUCGUUCGCCACUUAUAUUAUGAUUCUUUGCAUUCUUCAGUGUUCAUUUUUUUUUCUGAAAUGAAAACCAUUCUUUUAGGUGGAUGAGGCGGCUUUUGAAACAGUGGAAGAGAGAAAUUUAUGGAGCACUUUUACAUCAUUAAGGAGUAAAGUUCAUUCUGACAUGGAAGUCGAUGACUUUGUUGAAGCAUCUUCCUGUCUAUUGCAGCCACUGGAAGAUUUCUUUAACAAUGUAUUUGUGAUGGUGGAAAAUUAAAGAAUCAGAAAGAACAGGCUUGCUCUCCUUCGAAAUAUAUCACUUCUUCCAAAGGGAAUAGUAGACCUCUCUAUUCUGCCUGGAUUCUAAAACUAGUCAUGUCUAACUUACAAAAAGCUCAGUUUCUGGCACCGUUACAAUAGAAAACGAGACAGCAAGGUCAGCAACUAUGGCUAGCACGUGUAAGUUUUACGAGGCUCGUAAGUUAUACUCCUCCGUUCCAUAGUAAUUGAGUCAUUUUGCCAUUUUGGUACGUUCUAUAGUAAUAGAGUCAUUUCCAUUUUUAG